AUAUUUCGGAACUGAGUCUAGUUCCUUCGAUAUCAGUGUAAUCUUAGAAUACACUGAUAUCGAAGGAACUAGACUCAGUUCCGAAAUAU